rnacentral:lncRNA from 1 species
ACUCCUCUGUACUGAAGGUCACUACUUCUUUGGAGACAGGUGAUCUUACAGGUCCUUUUCAGUUUUAUAUUUUCCCCAUUCCUUUGUCCUGUUGGCAUGAGUAUGGUAAUAGCUCAAUUGCUACUGAACCACAGAUGAAUGCACUAUUCUAUUCAUAAUUGUUUAGCAAGUGUAAGUAUGUCUUUGUUUGUUUCAGGAUAUUUUGUUGAAGGAUGAUUACAUCAUAAUAUUGAAGAAUGCUGAUAUUGUAAUGGUUUUUAUUUAGAAUGUAAUGUUGUUUGGAAUGUAGUUAUGAUAGAAGGAGCUGUAGGGAUACUUAUAGCCAAGAAAGUGUAAUGUGCUUGAUUAUCUUCUGGCAGCUCAGCAGCAAAGCCCCUCUUCUUCGCUCUCUACAUUAUGGCAAGAAAUGAAAGAUGGGGAACUGUGUACUCAGAGUCCUGGCUAGCAAGAAUCUAGGUUCGAUUCUGCAAGAUACUCAUUUGAGUUUUGUGAGACAGAAGAGAAGCAAAAACCAUAUUAGAGUAACUUCCAAAGGUGACAGGCGUGCUUUGAGCACUGGUAGACGUGCAUCCUACAGGAGCUUCCUGAAGUUAGUUCUGUAGGUAAUUGGUGGUUUUCCUGUGGUUAUUACAACUACCUAAUUUCAUCAAAACUAGGUGGAUUAACCUUCCUGAUCUUCAUUUUCUUGUCCUUUCAACAUUUUUAGAAACAUCUCUCUCAAUUGAAUUUCUUCCUGUGUGGAAGGCAUAGAGUGGUUUAUAUUUUCCUUUUAACAGGCAUAUAUUUAUAUACCUAUAUUCAUAUAUAUAUAUAUACACAUACGUGUGUGUGUGUGUGUGUGUGUGUGUGUGUGUGUACAUCCAGAGUAAAGGUACUAAGAAAGAUGAGUUAUUUAUACUUUCAGUUAACUCAUGGUAUGGUGUGAAUAAAGAAAAAAAUUACAAUGCCAUAUUUAAGUAUGCCUGGGUUCUGUGACUGAUAAGAAAUAAGAUGAGUUCGAAUAUCCCACUUAAGGAGUACAAGGGAGGAUUUAUUCCAGGUGAGUUCGAGCUAAGUCUCACAUACUACAUACAACAGUAUGACUGAGAAUUAAUCAGUUGGACAAGAAGCUAAAGGAAAGUCUCAGUGCAGGAACAUUAUGAUAAGUGUGGCAUUGAAGAAAGAGGAGCCUAGUGUGUGAAGACUACAUGCAUCUUAAUAUUCCAGGAACAUUUUAGAGUGGUGAGAGAUGAGGCUGGCCUAGGUCAGGAAGAGAUAUGUUGCCAUUUUAAAGCUCUUGGAAUUUGUCCUAUACGUAAUGUGAAAUUAAACUGGAAGUUUUCCAGCUGGAAAUGGGAUAGAUGGAUUCAAGGCUCAUGAAUUUAGUAUCAUCACAGGUUUGUGUUACAAGCAUGUCAGCAAAUUGUACUGUGCUAUUGUUAUAUUUAUAUUAUAAAAAUAAUUGCUACCUGCAGGACAUGUUGAUUGUCUCUUAAAAUGUUGCAGAUUAAUUUAUAUAUGAGUAAAGGGCUCCUUCCCUAACUAUACCAUAAAUUAGGAACUGACUCUAGUCAUGAAAUAUGAUGGCAGCACUUAGACUUUUCAUUGGCUAAUUAAAUUUAAGUUCUAUUUUUGAACUUUUGCUCUAGUUGGCCAUUCAUCAAAAUUAUAGCAAAACAUUCAGAACGGAAACAGUUCUAAUUUGAAAGCUCUCACAGGAUACUAAGUUACAUUUUUAGACAUUCAGUCUACUUUGGUUGUGCAUGAAGUCAUUGUGAAGACUUUCUCCAUCAUUUAAAUAUUUAUCACAAAUAUUAUUCUUUCAUUUUUCUUCUUUUCACUCAUGGAGACAAAAACAGUCUAUUUUCCACGAAAUAUCUAAGAAGUAAAAUAAAAUCUCCUUAGGACUUUAAUGACUUUAAAAAAAAAAUUGUCCAUGAGUAAGUAGAAACACAUUGUUGAUUUUUCUAUUACUUUUUAAGUUAAAUAAGCACAUAGAUUUAAAGGAAGAAUAUUUAAAAUAACAAUAUCAAACCUGAAAAAUAAAUCCCUAAGCUAAACUUACUUAAAAAUCUCAGGCUAUUUUUAUUUGGUUAUUUAAAAGCUAAUCACCAAAUAUUUCCUAAAUUGUAUUUAUUAUUACUACUUAGCCAUACUCAUAAAAAUUUUCAUUUUCAAAAGAAAUAUGUAAUUCAAUAUUUACAUAAUUUCUUACUGAGGUGUUUUGUUUUUAGUUGAAGAUAUAUUAAGUUUUACUUAGUUUUCUGUAAUAACCACGUGUAACUCAUAUGCAUUUAGUUGGAUAGCUGGUUCAGGAUGUUAGCAGAAAACAUAUGGGAGGCAUUUGACACCUAGUAUUAUGUUUGAGAGGUUGUUAACUAGUCAUGUCAAAAACACAAACAUGAUUAUAGUUUUCUAAGAAUCUGAUUUUAUGUUCUCCUGGGAAUCAAUGCAUGCAUUAAUCUACUAGAAAGAUAAUUGCAUUUAGUAGUUUGAGAUUAAAGCAUAAAUGAUCCAUUUGAGAACAUUUUCAGAAUAAGCAUCACACUUCUUCUUUUUGACAAUAUACAGAUUAAGCCCAAAAUCUGGCCAUCAUCCUGCUAAUUACUUCUCACUUUUAACUUUUGUCUUGGUAAAUGAGUUGAACAGGUAGAAAUCAACCUUCUAGUAAAACAGAGUCAGCAUUAAGAACACUUUUGGAACACUUUCGGAAAUUACAUUUUCUAAAUUCUUUCUUGGAAAGCCUGUACUUUUCUUGGAAGCAGGCAAAAGUGGUUGUGUAUUAGCAUGAGAGUAAAAGUGGAAUGCAGAAACUAAGGUCUUUGCAGAGAACAAUCAAUAGAAAUGAAGUAACUGAGUGCAAAUCAAGGGUUUAAGCUGUCAAUUCAUCAGUAGAUUUCCCUUGGUAGUCAUGGAAUUUAAAAUUUUGACCUUCAAUAGAAAGAGAUAUUGUUCCAAAUUGUUCCAAAUUAAGAGUUGAAAUCUGAGAUUAGAAAAAAAAUUCUUUUACCUCCUGUAUUAAAAACACAUAUACACACAAACUAACAGUAUCUUAAACUAGUUAUAUGAACAACUAAAUUGGCUAUUAUAUAAUUUUGCUUUAUCAAUAGAAUAAAGGGCCAAAGUCCAGAUAAGGAAAAACACAAAAUAUAAAUAUUUUUUGUGUGUGUGUGUGAAGUAAUAAUAAAACUUCUUUUACCUUCCAACCCCAUUACAAUAUCAUCUUUAACUUUGUGAGGAAAAUGUUUCAUUUUCUACAAUUGAGUUAAUGUACUAGUAUAUGUCUUAUUCUAGUUUCUUCAAUGUACUAGUAUAUGUCUUAUCCUAGUUUAUAUUAGAAAGCAUUCAGGGAGUUCCCAUUGUGGUGCAGUGGUUAACGAAUCCGAAGGAACCAUGAGGUUGCGGGUUUGAUUCAUGCCUUGCUCAGUGGGUUAAGGAUCCGGUGUUGCUGUGAGCUGUGGUGUAGGUUGCAGAUGUGGCU